AUUGAACGCUGGCGGCAUGCCUAACACAUGCAAGUCGAGCGGUAUUGUGCAGGUGCUUGCACCUGUAUGAUAUAGCGGCGGACGGGUGAGUAACACGUAGGCAACCUGCCUUAUGCACUAGGAUACCUUCUGGAAACGGAAGUUAAUACUGGAUAAGCCCACGGUAUCGCAUGAUGACGAGGGAAAAGAUUAAUCGGCAUAAGAUGGGCCUGCGUCUGAUUAGCUAGUUGGUGUGGUAAAGGCAUACCAAGGCAACGAUCAGUAGCCGACCUGAGAGGGUGAUCGGCCACAUUGGGACUGAGACACGGCCCAAACUCCUACGGGAGGCAGCAGUGGGGAAUAUUGCACAAUGGGGGAAACCCUGAUGCAGCAAUGCCGCGUGAAGGAAGAAGGCUUUCGGGUCGUAAACUUCUUUAGGUGGGGAAAAAUAAAAUGAUGGUACCCACAGAAUAAGCCCCGGCUAACUACGUGCCAGCAGCCGCCGUAACAC
rnacentral:rRNA from 1 species